AUUGAACGCUGGCGGCAGGCCUAACACAUGCAAGUCGAGCGAGCGGCGGACGGGUGAGUAAUGUAUGGGGACUGCCCGAUAGAGGGGGAUAACUACUGGAAACGGUGGUUAAUACCGCAUACUAUCGGAUAACCCAUAUGGGAUUAGCUAGUAGGUGGGGUAAAGGCUCACCUAGGCGACGAUCUCUAGCUGGUCUGAGAGGAUGAUCAGCCAAACUGCAACUGAUACACGGUACAGACUCCUCCGGAGGCAGCAGUGGGGAAUAUUUCACACUGGUCGCAAGCCUGAUGCAGCCAUGCCGCGUGUGUGAAGAAGGCCUUCGGGGUGUAAGGCACUUUCAGCGAGGAGGCGUUACUCGCAGAAGAAGCACCGGCUAACUCCGUGCCAGCAGCCGCGGUAAUAC
rnacentral:rRNA from 1 species